rnacentral:rRNA from 1 species
GGCAGAGGUUGCAAACGUUGUUCGGAAUUACUGGGCAUAAAGCGCACGUAGGUGGUCCGCUAAGUCGGAUGUGAAAUUCCCCGGCUCAACCGGGGAACGGCAAUCGAUACUGGCGGGCUUGAGGUCCGGAGGGGUGAGUGGAACUCCUGGUGGAGCGGUGAAAUGCGUAGAUAUCAGGAGGAACACCAGUGGCGAAAGCGGCUCACUGGCCGGAAUCUGACACUGAGGUGCGAAAGCUAGGGUAGCAAACGGG